UACGUAGGGGGCUAGCGUUGUCCGGAUUUAUUGGGCGUAAAGAGCGUGUAGGCGGCCAGGUAGGUCUGCUGUGAAAACUCGAGGCUCAACCUCGAGACGUCGGCGGAAACCAUCUGGCUAGAGUCCGGAAGAGGAGAGUGGAAUUCCUGGUGUAGCGGUGAAGUGCGCAGAUAUCAGGAGGAACACCGAUGGCGAAGGCAGGUCUCUGGGCCACUACUGACGCUGAGAAGCGAAAGCAUGGGGAGCGAACAGG
rnacentral:rRNA from 1 species